CAUUAUCGAAUCUUGAGAGGGGGAGAGGAAGUUCAAAAGCAAAGAGGGGGAAAUACUGUCGCUGGUCAGCUCUGUCUGACAUGUGCACGUCCUCUUUUUCUUUCGUCUUCCUUUCUCUUUCUUUCUCUCACACCUGUGCACCCAUCGUAGGUGCCCUCGAAAGAGGGAAACCUAUGUAUUUCUACAUCACACUCAAUGUAUGGCCUGGAAUCUACUUUGAAUCGUUACAACUUUCAGCAACGGAUCUCUUGGCUCUCGCAUCGAUGAAGAACGCAGCGAAUUGCGAUAAGUAAUGUGAAUUGCAGAUUUUCAGUGAAUCAUCGAAUCUUUGAACGCACCUUGCGCUCCUUGGUAUUCCGAGGAGCAUGCCUGUUUGAGUGUCAUUAAAUUCUCAACCAUCUCUUGAUCGAUUUCAAGGAUAUGGCUUGGAGUUGGGAGCUGUCGGUGUCAAAGGACAUCAACUCUCCUGAAAUGCAUUAGCAAAGGGGCAGGCAAGUCUCUUGGUCAUGCAUGACCUUUCGAUGUGAUAAUGAUCAUCGUGGGUGAAGCACGUCCAGAUCUUGCAAGUCAGGCUCACAUGUUUGCUUCCAACCAUGUACGAAAUUAGACUCUGGACUCGAGCCAGACCUAGCUACUAGUUGGUCUGAGGCCAGCGAACACAGGCUGGGCUUUGAAUCCUAUGUAUGAGUUUGACUUUGUGGAUUCCUUAAGCUUGACCUCAAAUCAGGUAGGACUACCCGCUGAACUUAAGCAUAUCAAUAAGCGGAGGAAAAGAAACUAACAAGGAUUCCCCUAGUAACUGCGAGUGAAGCGGGAAAAGCUCAAAUUUUGAAUCUGAUGGUCGCUUUGGCCGUCCGAGUUGUAAUCUAGAGAAGCGUUUUCUGUGCUGGCCCAUGUACAAGUCUCCUGGAAGGGAGCGUCAUAGAGGGUGAGAAUCCCGUCUCUGACAUGGACUACCAGUGCUAUGUGAUGCGCUCUCGACGAGUCGAGUUGUUUGGGAAUGCAGCUCAAAAUGGGUGGUAAAUUCCAUCUAAAGCUAAAUACAGGCGAGAGACCGAUAGCGAACAAGUACCGUGAGGGAAAGAUGAAAAGAACUUUGGAAAGAGAGUUAAACAGUACGUGAAAUUGCUGAAAGGGAAACGCUCGAUGUCAGUCACGUCGGUCGGGGAUCAACCUUGCUUCAUUGCUAGGUGUACUUCCUGGUUGACGGGUCAGCAUCAGUUUCGAUCACCAUACAAGGAUGAAGGGAAUGUGGCACUCCUUGGAGUGUGUUAUAGCCUUUCAUCAUAUGUGGUGAUUGGGACUGAGGAACUCAGCACGGCUUUCGCUUGUGCUUGGGAUGCUGGCAUAAUGGCCUUGAGCGACCCGUCUUGAAACACGGACCAAGGAGUCUAACAUGCCUGCGAGUGUUUGGGUGGCAAACUCGAGUGCGUAAUGAAAGUGAAAGUCGAGACCUCUGUCAUGGAGGGCAUCGACGCCCGGACCCGAGUCUUUGACCAAGGAUCUGCGGUAGAGCAUGCAUGUUGGGACCCGAAAGAUGGUGAACUAUGCCUGAAUAGGGUGAAGCCAGAGGAAACUCUGGUGGAGGCUCGUAGCGAUUCUGACGUGCAAAUCGAUCGUCGAAUUUGGGUA
rnacentral:rRNA from 1 species